rnacentral:misc_RNA from 1 species
CACCACUGUAAACCUCCGCCGUUUUCGCCUUUUCUUCAUCGGAGUAUCACUAAUUUGAAUUUAUAUAUUUAUAUAUAGAAGUUGCUGACUAUGGCGGAAAAUGAGAGUACUGGAGAUGAUCAGAAGGAGGUGAUUGAGCCUCCAAAGUCGCCGUGGAAGACUCCGGCGCCGGCGCCGGUCCCGGCGGAUAAGGGUUCUGCGUCGUCAGGGGAUGAUGAUUCUGAUUCCUGGCCGGCACUUGCUGAUGCUCAGCAGAUGAUUAAGUCUGGUGAUUCUAGUUCCGCCGCUAAGUUGCCGUCACUUCCGCCGCAGCAGGAGAUUGGCAGCCGCAAUGUUGCUUCUGACAAGGUCCGAGGUGAGCAGCUAAAGUUCCAUGGGUCUUCUAGUGCCAAAUCUUCAAAUAAGUCAUCAUCCGCAGUUCAACAAAGACCAGUGCAUAGGCACAACCAAAAUGGUGUGCCAUCAUUUCCUGUGCCCUUGGCUUACCACCAAUCAGGAUUCCCUCCUUUUUAUCAAAGUAUGGUACCUAUGCCACAUAUUCCUCUUCCAGGGUAUGCAUACCAGCCCCCUCGAGGGUCUUUCUCAGGAGCUGAAGGUCACGUGGCUAGGUCUGAUGGUGAUGCUGCAUCUCAAGCUUUUGUACCCCCUAUAAAUGGUGGGUUUCGCCCCCCAUCACGAGGGGAUCCAAAUGACCAUGAUGCCAAAUUCUACAGAGGAAGACCUAAUACACAAGAGCGAGGUAGCCAGUUUAGUUCAAGCUUGUCUAAUCAGCGAUCUGUGGGUUCUAAAGAUGACAUUCAGCUGCAACAAAGUAUGGGGCUAAGGCCUUUCCUAAGGCCUCCAUAUUUUGGUCCAGCCCCGGGCUACAUGGAUGGUGCAAAUUUUCCUGGUCAUCCAGGAGCUAUAUAUUUUCUUCCUUCUCCCACUCCUGUGAGAGUUCCUUACCCACCUUUCUUUGUCCCACAUUCUGUUAGCUCUGGAGCCUCUACUCCACCAUCACCUGCAUUAGCUUUGAGAGAGAGCAUAUUGAAGCAAAUUGAAUACUAUUUCAGUGAUCAGAAUUUGCAGAAUGAUCGCUUCUUGCUUACCUUAAUGGACGAUCAAGGUUGGGUUCCAAUCUCUAGUAUCGCUGAGUUCAAAAGGGUUAAAAAAAUGAGUACAGAUAUAGCAUUUAUCAUUGAUGCAUUGCAGGCUUCAAGCACUGUUGAAGUAAAGGUAGACAAGUUGAGAAGACGUGAUGAAUGGUCAAAGUGGGUUUCAGCUAGUGCUGAUCAGAAAUCAUCCCCUUUGACCCCGGUGGAACACUCAGUGGGGAAGGUUAUAAAGAAGGAUGAGGUCAAUGAAAAUAAAGAGGAUGGAUUUCAAGUCAGAUUUUCCCAAGAAAAUCGUGUAGGUGAGCUUGCAUCAUUAGAGAAACAUGCUAAAAAAGUGUCAGUGUUUAGUAAAGCAGAAACCAGUAGGAAGAAAUCUGGAUUCCGUGGUCCAACUCACAGAGUUGACAAAGGAAGUGGUGAUGCAAGAAUGGUUAUGGCAUCAAAUGUUGUAGAAGAGAAUGUAGACGACUUAUCUAAUGAUUUCUCGAGCACAUUUAUGCUUGAUGAAGAGAUGGAGCUUGAAAAUAAAAAGGACCAGUCCUCUUUGAGUGGAAGAGUUGAGGAAGAAGAUGACGAGAUGUACGUUAAUGACGAGGCUAUUGAGAAACUUGUCAUUGUAACUCGGAACACUCGAGCAUCUCAGGUAUCUGGAACUGUUGGAAAAGAAUCAAAACCAAUAUCUACUGAGCUUGCUUCUGCAAUAAAUGAUUGUCUCUACUUGUAUGAGCAGGAGCUUAAAGCUACACGAUCCAGUCAUAGAUCUAACAACUCCAAUAAUGAUCCUAGAGAUGACAUUAGUAGGUCUUUUGGUACUGGUGCUGCUUUAUCCAAAUCAAAGUAUGCCGAUCAUUCUUCUGGAGGAAAAAACACUGAAGGUCCUGGAAGUUCCAACUCCCGGAGAAAGCAAAACAAAGGAUUUGCUAAGCCACAUCCAAUACAUAAGCAGCGGCUGUUUUCUGGAAAUUACCGGAAUCAUGGGGUUUCUCGGAACAGUGUAGGAGCAAUAUCUGAAAGUCCACCUAGCGAUUCAGUUGGGUUUUUCUUUGGUUCUACACCUCCUGACAGUCAUGUGUCUAGGCCUUCAAAGUUGAGUGCCUCUCCGCACAGCAAUCUUGCUAGUAAUAGUCCGCCAGUUGGUUCCAUGCCUAAACCAUUUCCACCCUUCCAGCAUCCAAGUCACAAGCUGCUACAAGAAAAUGGUUUUACACAGCAGCUGUACAAGAAGUAUCAUAAGCGCUGUCUGACUGAUCGCAAGAAACUUGGAAUUGGUUGCAGUGAG